rnacentral:lncRNA from 1 species
CAAUCAUUUCCCUGUGGAUAUGCCCUUUGCAUCUAAGUUAAUUGCAACAUCUCUUCUCUGCCUAUGCACGUGUGAUACUUUGACUCUCUUUGAAUCAGUUGAAAGAAACAGCUUACUCAUUAUUAAUAAGGCAUCAUGGAGUGCAGUGCCCAGUGGACUCAUCAGACAAAGAAGGGUAAAGUCUGUUACCAGAAAAGUAAGUGCACCUCGCAGGUGGCUUCAGCCCACGGAUCUCUUAUCUGGCUCACAAACGUCAAUCCCAAAUGAUGAUAGAACUGAACUCACUCCCACACUGAGAGCAUUGAUCCAUAAAGGAGGGCAGAGCCAUCAUGACCCCAUCACCUCUUACAGGGCUUCCAUAAUGAAGUACCACAAACCAGGAGGCUGA